UGGAGGGUGGUGUAGGCAUCGAUGUUGAGGCCAUCGAUGUCGGUUCUUGCAUGGGUGCUGAUGAUGGACCUGCCUCGCCAGCCCUUGGAUUUAAAAGGGGCCGUUGUGACCUACUCAUACAAGGAUGCUGACAAGUCGCUUCUUCCCCAUACAAAUAUGGUUUGCCAUGGAUCCUAAACCAUGACAUGUACUCCAGACCGCAUGCUAACUCUAGAACAGUAAUAGGUUUGCGAGUAGGUAAAAAAUUAUACCGAUUGUUCCACAUGUUGAUAUGUUGGGAGUGGAAUACUAGCUAAUUCUCAUCCAGCCGCUGCAAGUCGAUAAGAUGCAGAUCAUCAAGGUUUUAAGGUGUCAUAGGAAUUGACUGUCGAAAUCCGAACUACCACAACACUCUAUCAGUCUCGUGCAUCUCAUAGUAGCAUACACUACCAAUGGGACCUUCAUGUGCCAGGCAUUGGGAUUCUCAGGGAUUACUUCUUGAAUUGUCGGAUCCUUGUAUGGUGUCCAUUCAAACUAUAUUAACGUGAUAAAAAAACAUUAGUUAUAUAUAUACUAUUAAAUAUGAAAUCGAAUACAUUAUUUGUAUAUAGUUCAAAAAUAAGUAAAUGUAUACCUCCGUUUCUGAUCAUUGGUUUAAUAGAAGCCAUAUAUCUUGAAACUCAAUAGGUAGUCCCACGUGACUCGACGCAUGGUUCCACCUAUUUAAAUAACUUAUUAGCAUAAUAAUUUUAAUUUAAAUCAAAUUAAUCAUGGUAAUAUCUAUUGAAUUUUACAUUGUUACGAGUGAGAAUGUAUACAGGUAGUUUGCUCGAAGACAUAAAAAUGGAAGCUGGAACCGAGCUUAUGAUUGUAGUAGUAAAAGGUAACCACCAAUUUUGAUUUUUCCUGGUUGCGUCGGUCGACACAUCUUUCGGUACAAUAUCACCAGCACAAAAAACCCUUAACUGAGUUCACCCGCCUCUCUAAAAUCGACGAGUUUCAGUGGCCACCUUAGAUGGACGAGAUUUUGUGACUUAUCUGGCAUCAGGAUACCCCUGAUAAUCUGAAGGAUAUACGCCUGAGUGUAUCGUUCUCUUUGAGUUUCAGUUGAAUCCUCAACCAGCUCCACAAAAUUUUUUCUUAUCCAAGCCAUUUUGAUCCGACCUCCGUAAAUCAUCUCCGGAGCCGCACCCAAAAAAUCACCACACACGGCUCCCCAAUCAGCAGACUGAACAGACCUGGUCUUCCAAAGUAAUAGUACACUCGCCGCAUGAAAGAUGAAAUGUGUGCAUCUCGGGUCUCCACCUCUCCACCAACGCGCUUGUGAGUUUCGGGUCCAACUUACACCCCCGGCCUACAAGGGUCACGUGCCAAAAACUGGCUUCCCUCAAGUAUGAUUCGAUCAACAGUGAUGGAGGACCGGGUAGAUUACGAAUAUGGCAUUAUAAAAUUCGAUCUUCUACCUAUUUACGUAAAAAUUAUAAAAAUAUUAAGUUAAAAUAUAACAAUGAAAAAAAUUUAAACAAGAUUAAAAUUUAUUAUUACCAUUUGCAAUUGAUUGACAGAAAUGUGCUUGUUAUCAAGAUGAAUUAGAGACUCGACAAUUGCUAAAUCAUAUAAAACACGAAAUAAUUUUUAAUAAAAAAACAUUUCUUGAAAAUAUUUAUAAAAAAUAUAAUAAAAAUAGAAUUUACAUAGAAAUAGAAUUUUAGUAAAAAAUUUAAGAGAGAAUUUGAGAGAUUUUUUUAGAGUGGAUUGAGAAAUUUUGAGAGAUAAGACAGAAAUGUGAGAAAUUAAUAGGUGAGGGGUUUAUAUUUUUUUUUUACCGUUUGGGGGGGGGGAACACCUAUUUAAAAUAGCCGUUGGAAGUGACCGUGGGGGGGGGGACACGUUGAGCUGGAUGCAUUUUUCAUUAGCGUGCUGAGCUAGAAGCGCUUUACUGGUUAGAGGGGAAAACGAUUGAGUUUUCCUGAAAACAACUUCAACUGGAAGCGUUUUAUCAAAAACAGUCCAUUCUUGUAAUUUUUCAAAAUAUCAGCCUAGUUCUGUAAAUUUCUUUAAAAAAAAAAGGCUUCAUUUGACAAUUUAGUUUAAUUUUAUAAUAAAUUAAUUUUUAAUUUAAUGAUGGAGAGUUAAAUGGUAAUUUUAUUCAUUUUAGAUUGAGCCCUUAAAUUGGCUCUUGCUGUUAUGCAUGUGUAAUUUUAAGAACCAUUAUUAGUUCCAAUGCGGCGUCAAAUUGAUUUUUGGAAUUAUGUUUAAUAUUUAUUAAAAACAAACAAAUAUUUAAAAAGAUUCUUCAAAUAUAUUUUAGUUUUGAGAAAUAAAUAGUAAAAUAAAAUGAGGUAAGUAAUUAUUCUCUUCUCUCCAUCUCUACUUCAUUUCACAUUUGCUUUUGAAAAAGGAAAAUCACACUCCACUUAAAAUCAAUUGAUGCAAAAUUCAUGAUACACAAUGAGUUUUACUAUGGGGUCCAAAUUCAAUUGGGUAUUGACAAAGAUUGGUCUGGGAAUUCGAUUGUCGAGUAAAGUUUUUUUCCUGGUGGGACCAUUUGGUUGUUAUUCUUGGCAAGGCGAGAAAAAUAAACAUAAGCUAAGCUACCCAGGUAUAUAUAUAUAUUUUGCUUCUUCAGCUUUUGGCUGGUCUUAUUCGUAUCUAUUUCUAAUAAAAUUUCAAUUUAUUUUGUUACACAAAUGAAACAAUAUUCUCUGUUAUGUGACAGAGAAAUUCAAACCAAAAAGAAAAAAGGUAUGACAAGCAAUUGUAAAGUAAAUCACAAUCACCCCUUAGCUUAUGAGUUCCUAGAAACUAUAGCCUGUAAUAGCGAUCAAAAUGGCAAUAGUCAAUCCUGUCCUUGCCCACCAAAGCUUUGUUCCUGCCACCAACAAUGAAUCUCCUCCAUUCUGUAUUUCAUAGAAACAAAUAAUAAAAUUAGAUUCAUAUGUUGUAAACAUCCUCAAUUCAUACAUUGAUUUUGUUCUUUUUUGUUAGUAGAACUUAGAAGGCAUUACCAAAUUGAGACUAGGUGAUGGUGCUGGUGUCGUGUCAUCUGUAGUUGGCACUGCAGGUGGUGCUGGGGGGCUUGGAACUGUUGGUGCUGGUGCUGGUGCAUGGUGGUGUCUCCUGUGCCUGUGCCUGUGCCUUCUCUUGUGCUUGGUGGGAGCUGGUGCAGGAGCCGGUGGCAAAGUAAUGGGUGCAGGUGCUGGGGGCAGCUUUACUGGUGCAGGAGCUGGUGGUUUCUGAGCUGGUGCUGGUGCAGGAGAUACUGGUGGUGGUGAUGGUGGUGGCAAUGCUGGCGGUUGAGCUGGAGCUGUGGUUGGAGGAGUUUGAGGUGGUUGAGGUGGUGGAGUUUGUGGCGGUGGGACGGUUUGGCUUGUAGCUGGUGCAACAGUGGGAGGGGGAGUUGUUGCAGGUGGUUGAGCUGGCGCGAUGGGCGUGGUGGAAGGUGGAGGCGUUGCUGUUGAAGGAGGUGGUGCUGAAGUUGUAGGUGGAGGGGUUGUUGAAGGAGGUGGUGCGGAAGUUGUAGGUGGUGGCGAAGUUGAAGGUGGAGUGGUGGUGGUGGUGGUUGGCGUACUGGAAGGUGAGGCAGCUGGUGUUUGUGCACUCGUAAUGGCUAGUUGAAGGGUGAGAGUAGUUACAAUGAGAGCCCAAAACAUGAAAGCCAUUUUGUUAGAGAUGGGGAAUAGCAUUUGCAAGCAACAAUAUAUAAACACUAAACAACCAGCAAUUCUCAAA
rnacentral:lncRNA from 1 species